rnacentral:rRNA from 1 species
UACAGAGGUCCCAAGCGUUGUUCGGAUUUAUUGGGCGUAAAGGGUGCGUAGGCGGCGGAGUAAGUUGGGUGUGAAAUCCCGAGGCUCAACCUCGGAAUGGCAUUCAAUACUGCUUCGCUAGAGUACUGGAGAGGAGGCUGGAAUUUACGGUGUAGCAGUGAAAUGCGUAGAUAUCGUAAGGAAGGCCGGUGGCGAAAGCGAGCCUCUGGACAGUUACUGACGCUGAUGCACGAAGGCCAGGGGAGCAGACGGG